AACGCGAAGAACCUUACCUACCCUUGACAUCCUCGGAAGCUGCUAGAGAUAGCGGUGUGCCUUAGGGAACCGAGAGACAGGUGCUGCAUGGCUGUCGUCAGCUCGUGUCGUGAGAUGUUGGGUUAAGUCCCGUAACGAGCGCAACCCUUGUUCUUAGUUGCCAUCAGGUAGAGCUGGGCACUCUAAGGAGACUGCCGGUGAUAAGCCGGAGGAAGGUGGGGAUGACGUCAAGUCCUCAUGGCCCUUACGGGUAGGGCUACACACGUGCUACAAUGGGCGGUACAAAGGGAAUCGAAGCUGUGAAGCGAAGAGGAUCUUGAUAAAGCUGCUCGUAGUCCGGAUUGGAGUCUGCAACUCGACUCCAUGAAGUUGGAAUCGCUAGUAAUCGCAGAUCAGCACGCUGCGGUGAAUACGUUCCCGGGCCUUGUACACACCGCUAGUC
rnacentral:rRNA from 1 species